rnacentral:rRNA from 1 species
GAUGAACGCUAGCGGCAGGCCUAAUACAUGCAAGUCGAACGGGAUCCAGAUCAAAGCUUGCUUUGGUCCGGUGAGAGUGGCGCACGGGUGCGUAACGCGUGAGCAACCUACCCUUGUCAGGGGGAUAGCCCGGCGAAAGUCGGAUUAAUACCGCAUGACAUCAUUGAGAGGCAUCUUUCGAUGAUCAAAGAUUUAUCGGACAAGGAUGGGCUCGCGUGACAUUAGCUCGUUGGUAAGGUAACGGCUUACCAAGGCUGCGAUGUCUAGGGGCUCUGAGAGGAGCACCCCCCACACUGGUACUGCGCCACGGACCAGACUCCUACGGGAGGCAGCAGUAAGGAAUAUUGGUCAAUGGACGGAAGUCUGAACCAGCCAUGCCGCGUGCAGGAGGACGGCCCUAUGGGUUGUAAACUGCUUUUAUACGGGAACAAACGUCGGUACGUGUACCGGUCUGAGUGUACCGUAAGAAUAAGGAUCGGCUAACUCCGUG